GCUGGUCUCGAACUCCUGACCUCAGGUGAUCCACCUGCCUCAGCCUCCCAAAGUGCUAAGAUUACAGGUGUGAGCCACCACGCCCAGUCACUGUCAUUUUUUAGGUACCUGCUAUGUGCCUGGCACUGUGCUAGGGGAUCUGUGGGCAUUAUUUAAUUCCCUCAAUGACCCUAGUGGUCAUGGUGGGCAUUAGUAUAUAUAGUAAUUUUUAUUAUGUAUUUUUAUGUAUGUAUUAUAAUACAUAAUAAUUUUUUAAAAAUAGAUAAAACCCAGGUUCAGGGCUAUUGAGGCACUUGCCCAGGGUCAGAUGGAAGGAAUCAGGAUUGAAAGCCAGGUUUGUCUAAGUCCAAAGCCUGUGCCCAUUCUCAUUUCAUGCUUUUACCUAUGAGCCUCAGCUUUCUCAUAUGUAAAGUGGGGAGAAUACUGACUUCACAGAUUCCUGUCGGGAUGAGGAGAGCAGGAGGCUUUAAAGCAAUCAGCCCCCGUGUGUGGCAUACAGCAGAUGGUUGGUAAGUAAGGGCUCCCUUGCCCUCCCUUUUUCUCCCCCGUCUUACGUACUUUGACAUGGGCUGUCUUGACCCUCAUGCAGACAGGGCCAUGCCAAGUGCCUCUCACAAUGAGAGCAGCCUGGAGUUGAUGUGGCCAAGAGCUGAAGACCCCUGGUCCUGCCCCAGGAUAGACUGGAUGCCCUGGGUCUGGAGCCCACAGAGACAGUGACACCAGCUCUGACCCACCCACUGAGUCUGUGCAAUGUGCUGGCUCUGUGCUCCCAUGGGGAAGUGCCCUGCCUGAGCUCACCCAGAGGGGAAGGGCUGGAGCCUGCAUUCAUACCCAGGCCAGUGCCUGUGGAGAGGCUGGGUGUGUAGUGUCGUCUCCAGCUGAAGAAUCCCAGCUGAGAAAACAUUGUCCUCAGGGGGUAUCGCAUCAUCUCUCAGAUCAGGCAAGAAGCCCCAAUUAAUUACAAGUGCUAAGUGAGUGGUCUGGAAGCAGGAUUUUGCAGUCAAUUAAAGAGAUGCUGGAGGAGGCUUCAUUAACCCCCUGCUUCCUGGCAGCUUUUGGUUUAGGAGAAAGAGGGGAGCUGUCUGCCUAGAAUGAGCUUCCCAACACUGUGGGGAAUGUAAGCAAGAGUGUGCCCUCUACCUAAGACGGCACAGGAGGUUUUCCUGAAUUGCAUGGGAGGAUGGAUUUGACUUUAACUCCCCUUCUCAUCCCAGGUUUCUUGAUUUCCUAUGCUUUGAUCCUGUAGUGAAGUCAAUAGUCAAGACAUGGCUACAUUUUGGGGUUCACCUUCCUCACAGCCCCAGCUGAUCUUCCUCAAUUUGCACAUCUGAUCAUAUCAUACCUCUGCUCUGUACCCUUCAGUGACUUCCCAUUGCCUGCAGGUAGAGUCCAAACUCCACCUCCUGGCACUCGAGUUGAAGUCCCUGUCCUCUCAGCCUUUCACAGAGACCUCAAUGAAUUCACACAGAUACCCUCUGUUUCUCCCUCCCCCACUCCCACUGCUCAGGUUAAACUACUUUUGUCUGCUCCAUGCCUUUGUUCAUGCCAGUCCCUCUCCUGGAUGUGCCCUCCUUCUCCACCAGGCUGACUCUUCCUCAUUGAAGACUCAUCUCAGAUGUAAACCCCUCCAGGGAGCCUGCACCCUGAUCCCAGGUUCACCGGUGGCACUGCUCAUGCUGUGGAGAGGAUUAAAACUCUUAGGAGAAGACAUUCAGGACUGAAAAUGAGAGGAUGCUGGCAUUUACUGACCUUAUGAUCCACUGAGCAGAGAGGAGAGGGAAGCCGAGGUCUCCACCCUUGGAAGGCCCUCAGAGCCCAGCCUGGGAGCUCUGGGAAUGACCUUAGUCUUGCAGAGGCUCCAGGAGAGUCUGCCAUUGGCCGCUGCUCCAGCUCUGAGACAUUUCCUCUGCUACCUGGGACACUGUGGCUGAAGAGGUUUGGAGCUCUGGCUCCUCCAAGGCCCUGCUCUACUCUAGUGCUUUGUAGGAAAGGGGAAGUUUGCCUCAGUCUCUAUGGUGGGCAGCCUCUAAGAUGCCCCCAGUAAUCCCCUGUCCUGGUAUUCACACCCUGUGAGGUCCCGUGCCCGUGAGUGUGGGUGAGUCCUGUGACUUAUCUCUAGUCAAUAGAAGAUGGUAAGGGUGACAGGGGGGUCACCUCCAUGGUUAGCUUAUAUAACAACAUGGCUUACAUCUUGCUAGCAGACUCUCUCUGUUGCCUUUGUGGCUUGCACACUUUGGUGAAGCAAGCUGCCCUGUUAGCAGCCCCAGUGCAGAGGCCCAUGUGGCAAGGGCCAGGGGAUGGCCUCCAGCCAACAGUCAGCCAAGAACUGAAGCCCCCAAUCCAACAGGAACUGAAGCCUGCCAAUAAAAACGUGAGCUUGGAAGUGAGUUGUGACCAUCUGAGCCUUCUGAUGAGACCCCAGCCCUGGCCUGCACCUUGACUGCAGCCCUGUGAGAGGUCCUGAAGCAGAGGACCCUGGUAAGCUGUGCCGGGACUCCUGACCCACAGAAAUGGAGAAAAUACACAUGUGUUGUUUUAA